rnacentral:rRNA from 1 species
GGUUCGAUCCGGCUCAGAUUGAACGCUGGCGGGAUGCUUUACACAUGCAAGUCGAACGGCAGCACGGACUUCGGUCUGGUGGCGAGUGGCGAACGGGUGAGUAAUGGUCGGAACGUGCCUAGUAGCGGGGGAUAACUACGCGAAAGCGUAGCUAAUACCGCAUACCGCCCUUCGGGGAAAGCGGGGGACCUUCGGGCCUCGCACUAUUAGGAGCGCCGAUAUCGGAUUAGCUAGUUGGUGGGGUAACGGCUCACCAAGGCGACGAUCCGUAGCUGGUUUGAGAGGACGACCAGCCACACUGGGACUGAGACACGGCCCAGACUCCUACGGGAGGCAGCAGUGGGGAAUUUUGGACAAUGGGGGAAACCCCGAUCCAGCCGUCCUGCGUGUGCGAUGAAGGCCUUCGGGUUGUAAAGCACUUUUGGCAGGAAAGAAACGGCACGGGAUAAUACCCCGUGCAACUGACGGUACCUGCAGAUAAGCACCGGCUACUACGUGCCAGCAGCCGCGGUAAUACGUAGGGUGCAAGCGUUAAUCGGAAUUACUGGGCGUAAAGCGUGCGCAGGCGGUUCGGAAAGAAAGAUGAAAUCCAGAGCUUAACUUUGGAACUGCAUUUUUAACUACCGAGCUGAGUGUGUCAGAGGGAGGUGGAAUUCCGCGUGUAGCAGUGAAAUGCGUAGAUAUGCGGAGAACACCGAUGGCGAAGGCAGCCUCCUGGGAUAACACCGACGCUCAUGCACGAAAGCGUGGGAGCAAACAGGAUUAGAUACCCUGGUAGUCCACGCCCUAAACGAUGUCAACUAGUUGUUGGGGCCUUCGGGCUCUGGUAGCGCAGCUAACGCAGGAAGUUGACCGCCUGGGGAGUACGGUCGCAAGAUUAAAACUCAAAGGAAUUGACGGGGACCCGCACAAGCGGUGGAUGAUGUGGAUUAAUUCGAUGCGCGAAAACCUUACCUACCCUUGACAUGUCUGGAAUCCCGAAGAGAUUUGGGAGUGCUCGCAAGAGAACCGGAACACAGGUGCUGCAUGGCUGUCGUCAGCUCGUCGUGAGAUGUUGGGUUAAGUCCCGCAACGAGCGCAACCCUUGUCAUUAGUUGCUACGAAAGGGCACUCUUUAAACCGGAGAUGACGCCCUCAUGGCCCCGCUUAUUAUGGGUAGGGCUUCACACGUCAUACAAUGGUCGGGACAGAGGGUCGCCAACCCGCGAGGGGGAGCCAAUCCCAGAAACCCGAUCGUAGUCCGGAUCGCAGUCUGCAACUCGACUGCGUGAAGUCGGAAUCGCUAGUAAUCGCGGAUCAGCAUGUCGCGGUGAAUACGUUCCCGGGUCUUGUACACACCGCCCGUCACACCAUGGGAGUGGGUUUUACCAGAAGUAGUUAGCCUAACCGUAAGGAGGGCGAUUACCACGGUAGGAUUCAUGACUGGGGUGAAGUCGUA